ensembl:rRNA 5S_rRNA 5S ribosomal RNA
UUGUUCUUUCAAGCCACCCUGGAUUUGCCUGAUCUCAUCUGAUCUCAGAAGAGCAGCAGGUUUGGGGCUGGUUAGUACUUGGAUGGGUAUAAGUUUCUAAGUCACAUCUCCAGUGACACU